rnacentral:rRNA from 1 species
UACGGAGGGGGCUAGCGUUAUUCGGAAUUAUUGGGCGUAAAGGGCGCGUAGGCGGCCCGGUAAGUCAAAGGUGAAAUCCCUCGGCUCAACUGAGGAACUGCCUUUGAAACUGUCGGGCUUGAGGCCGGGAGGGGGUAGCGGAAUUCCCAGUGUAGCGGUGAAAUUCGUAGAUAUGGGGAGGAACACCGGUGGCGAAGGCGGCCAUCUGGACGGUAACUGACGCUGAGACGCGAAAGCGUGGGUAGCAAACAGG